UAAAUGACAUUUCUUGUAAGGAAAUCUCACUUUUUCAUUGCUUAAUAAUCAUAACAUUUACUCUUACCAGACACAGCUUGUCAAAAAGAAAUAAAAUUGAUGUUAUGCAGAAUUGAGUUCAGGUUAUUGGCCCGGCCCUCCACAAUAUUUUCUGUUUCUCAUGUGGCCCCUUGGGAAAAAUAAUUGCCCACCCCUGGUGUAGAAGGACUGAGUG